rnacentral:rRNA from 1 species
AUGAAUGCUUGGCAGUCUCGUGCUGAUGAUUACUCCCUCAUUCAGUGCGGCAUGCUUUACAGCUUAGAACCGGGGCUCCAAAAGCGUUUUGAGCACCACGAAGCAUAUGAGAUGUUCGAAGAGCUGAAACUAGUUUUUCAAGCUCAUGCCCGGGUCGAGAGAUAUGAUGUCUCCGACAAGUUCUACAGUUGUAAGAUGGAGGAAAACAGUUCUGUUAGUGAGCACAUCCUGAAGAUGUCUGGGUUGCACAACCGUAUGACCCAGCUGAACAUUAACCUCCCAGAUGAGGCGGUCAUUGACAGAAUCCUCCAGUCGCUCCCACCAAGCUACAAGAGCUUUGUGAUGAACUACAAUAUGUAG